GUGGUACGUUUAUGCUUAUGGGUUGCUUGCUUGGUGUUUGUGCCAGGCGGGUGGUUUUUAGUUGGAUGUUCUUCGGGGAUGUUUACCGUAAAGGUGCAUGAGUGGUGUUUGGUUUGUUACGGGUGGUUGGAUGUCUGUUUGUGCAGCAACUUCCACGCGUUCAUACCUCUUCAGUUGUUGUACAAGGCUUUAUUUGUCUUKUCCAUCAUUGGGUUUCUGUGCUGCAUACCUAAUAAAGGGCAUUGUUUGGCUAGAUCAAAGUUCAUUUCGUAAUGCGUUGCUUGCGGCGUUGAACGAACCURGAAGCGGUCUCUGUGGUCCAUACUGUUGUUGCCCUUGCAACGAUGGCAUGGCCUUCUGAGGUCGUCUGGUCUCUUGGAUAUGGAACCUGAUGUGGGCUGUAGGGUCUUCAAUGAUCCUAUUUUUGCCCUCGUUUAGCGUUCUCGCUUUUGCAAACGACCGUCUGUCAUGUGUCGGCAUGUUCGUGCAUGACGGGCUKCGUCGAAGAGGAAUGC
rnacentral:misc_RNA from 1 species